AUCACCAGGCUGUGGAAACUUUAUUCUCCUCAACAACUUGGUGGAGUUCUUUCCAGAACCAGAGAAGAUAUUCUGCGGUCUUCGUGACAAUCGGAGCUCCAGAAUCAGGUUGUGGCUGUUAGCUAAACACGGCUAAAGCAGACCUGCUACCACUUCAGGAUCUGGGACUGAGUCAUCAUCUGGAUCUGGACAACAUGGAUACAGUGGCUGAGCGGAGAGCUGACCAGGAACAACGGUGGUGGCAAAACCCAGUUGGGUCUGUGAUGGAAUGAUGCACGCCUGGAGUGAUUGCCAUCUCAUCCACAGUGAGCACACUCUCUCCAUGUCUGUCAGAUUUUU
rnacentral:lncRNA from 1 species